rnacentral:lncRNA from 1 species
GUUUCUUUUAAAUAUAAGGAAACUGACUCAUGACACCAUAUCCCAAGCCAAAGUUAGACAGGAAUUCAACUGUAAUACUGAGAAUAGGAGAUUGAUCACUUAACUCCCAGUUCUGCACUGUAAACAAAGUUAUCACUUGCUUCAAAAAAUGAAUAUAUGAGAGAGUGCUCUGACACACAGGAUGCUAAUGAUGUUAGAAGAGCUGAUGAUCUAAAAGAAGCUGGCAGCAAUUUGUUCAAAUGGUCUUCUGAAGUGAUGAAGUUGUGAUGUGUCAGAGAUUGAGAAAGCUAGACUUCGUCAUACUCCCCUCUUCAGGCAGCGUUGCAGGAGAAAAAUCCCAUUCAUCUCUACUGGCCGUUAAUUACGGUGCUGUAUAAAGAUAGCCAGAGACUGAUAGGACCAACCAAGAUUAAGAAGAGCUGGAGAAAAGGAGGUGUGCUGAUAAGAACAACUAGCAGAAGGCCAUCCUGGCAGCUUUGCACAAUCUACAGCACCUACAUUACUGUAAGGCAUUCCCUAGGAAGCCUGUAACUUCCCACCACCUCCAAUAGUCUGUUUACAUUGAUUUGUUUAUGUUGAAGGUUACUCGGAAUUAACAGCGGCAUAAAUUUCCUUAAAAUACAAAUCUAAGAUGGAUUGGACCUAGCUCCUAAUUUUAACAGAUUUGCCACAGAACAGGAAGAUCUACAUUAUUCUAUGCCUGGUAAUGACCUAAGGGAGUUGGUCACAAUGCUAGCCCAGCAACUCACUCCAGGGAAACCUAGGUAAAGGUUCCUUAUGAGCCAUUUAAGUCUUGACACAGAUAAUAUUCAAGUUUGACUAUAUGGUCACUUGUGUUGAAAGAUGUUUGGCAGUCAGAGUAUUCCAAGGCAUGCAAAUAUAUCUGGAUCCGGGAUAAGUUGAAAUACUUCAUUACUUUCUACCUUUGUUUAGACCUGCUUACUUUUCAGUCCUUUAUGCUUGACUGUACUUUGCACAAGGAAAUGUGGGUACUAGUAUAGGUUAAUCUUGAGAAAGAGAAUAUGAUAAUGUGGAGAGCAACUUAGUACACUGAAAAGUAGUCAUAAUAAGACUACGUUCAGUUUAAUUUCACUUAUGCCAAAAGAAAACAAACUGAUUGUGAGUCAUUGCCGGUGUGAACAGAGAAAAAAGAGGCUUUUGAGGAGCACAAGUCAGAGCCAUUUUGGUUGCUAAUCCCCUACUAACUUAAUUAAACUAUCUUGCAUAAAGCCAUAAUAUCAGUAAAUAUGUUUAUUUACCUGAUCAUAAGAG